UGACGGUAUCAUAUGAAUAAGCACCGGCUAACUCCGUGCCAGCAGCCGCGGUAAUACGGGGGGUGCAAGCGUUACUCGGAAUCACUGGGCGUAAAGAGCAUGUAGGCGGGUGAAUAAGUUGGAAGUGAAAUCCUAUAGCUUAACUAUAGAACUGCUUCCAAAACUGUUCACCUAGAGUAUGGGAGAGGUAGAUGGAAUUUCUGGUGUAGGGGUAAGAUCCGUAGAGAUCAGAAGGAAUACCGAUUGCGAAGGCGAUCUACUGGAACAUUACUGACGCUCAGAUGCGAAAGCGUGGGGAGCAAACAGGAUUAGAUACCCUGGUAGUCCACGCCCUAAACGAUGUACACUAGUUGUUGCUAUACUAGAUAUGGCAGUAAUGCAGUUAACACUUUAAGUGUACCGCCUGGGGGAGUAC
rnacentral:rRNA from 1 species